rnacentral:tRNA from 1 species
GAUUAAAUGGCUGAAGAUUAGGCAAUAGAUUGUAAAUCUAUUUAUAAGAAAAUUAUUCUUUUUAAUCA